rnacentral:rRNA from 1 species
UACGAAGGUCCCAAGCGUUAUCCGGAUUUAUUGGGUUUAAAGGGUGCGUAGGCGGGCUAUUAAGUCAGUGGUGAAAUCUCCAUGCCUAACAUGGAAACUGCCAUUGAUACUGAUGGUCUUGAGUACAUUUGAAGUGGGCGGAAUGUGUCAUGUAGUGGUGAAAUACUUAGAUAUGACACAGAACACCGAUUGCGUAGGCAGCUCACUAAACUGUAACUGACGCUGAGGCACGAAAGCGUGGGGAGCAAACAGG